rnacentral:sRNA from 1 species
AGGUUAUCUAACCGCAUGCAUCCAAAACAAAUCAUGUAUUUAAAAACUUGAUCACAACUUGAGCAAAAUAUAUGGAGAGCAAAGGGCCAUCGCCAAUAGUUCCACUUGUGCUUGUGGUACUCUUCGGAUGGUUCCUAUGCGGCUCGUACCUUGUCUCACUAUUAGAAGAUGUUGUAUUACCAAUCUUACAAACCGGAACGUUCAUUGUAGGAAUCUUUCUCUUGCUUCUCCUUUUGCUUCUCCAUGUCUUAUCUUCUUCUUGGAUCUAUCCAUGGAUCCCUUCUCUUCUUCUUUUACCAUCUCCGGCUUCCACGACUUCUACUGACUCAGACAGCUUUGGUCUUGGAUCGUUUCUUUUGUUCACACUUUUUCUCAUCUCUUUCUGGUUUUUUGGGUCACUCUAAUGUUUAUUCUACUUGUGAAUUGUAUAUUCCUGAUUGAUCAUGCAAAAUAUUGCUAUACACUUUAUACAUGCAAAAUAUUGCUAUACAUGUUGUACAUCAUGCAAGAUUCCAACACAAAAUGUUUAGCAAGAA